rnacentral:rRNA from 1 species
CCUACGGGUGGCAGCAGUGGGGAAUAUUGGACAAUGGGCGAAAGCCUGAUCCAGCCAUGCCGCGUGUGUGAAGAAGGCCUUCGGGUUGUAAAGCACUUUCAGUGGGGAAGAAAGCCUUGGGGCUAAUACCCUCGAGGAAGGACAUCACCCACAGAAGAAGCACCGGCUAACUCCGUGCCAGCAGCCGCGGUAAUACGGAGGGUGCGAGCGUUAAUCGGAAUUACUGGGCGUAAAGCGCGCGUAGGCGGUCUGAUAAGCCGGUUGUGAAAGCCCCGGGCUCAACCUGGGAACGGCAUCCGGAACUGUCAGGCUAGAGUGCAGGAGAGGAAGGUAGAAUUCCCGGUGUAGCGGUGAAAUGCGGAGAGAUCGGGAGGAAUACCAGUGGCGAAGGCGGCCUUCUGGACUGACACUGACGCUGAGGUGCGAAAGCGUGGGUAGCAAACAGGAUUAGAUACCCGGGUAGUC